rnacentral:rRNA from 1 species
AUGAAGGAAUUGGGCUUGAGGGAGGAGGACCUGGACGAUGUGGUGUUUGACGAGAAGGAAGCCCCGCCGGCGGCUGCUCGUUGGAUUGCUCUCGUCAAGGUUCACACCAUCAAAUCGUAUAGUCAAUUUUGGUUCUACCGAAACAUGCGGGCAGCCUGGGAUCUAGCCCAAGAGGUGAAGUUCAAACCCUUGGAGGAGAAUCUCUACACGGUACAGUUCUCAUGUUUGGGUGAUUGGGAAAGAGUCACACAAGAGGGCCCUAGGCACUUUCGGGGGGAUGAUGUGAUCCUCAAGCCAUAUGAUGGUGUGGCGAAGCCCUCGACAGUUCAACUGGAUAGCAUUGAGAUAUGGGCACAAAUCCAUGAUGUACCACCACUAUAUGCAUAUCUGGUUCCAUCUCUUGCGGCAAGGGUGGGAGAAGUGCUCUUUGCUGAACCUAUAUCACAGGAUUUUGUUGGGAAUUUUCAUCGUGUGUGA